rnacentral:rRNA from 1 species
UGGGGAAUAUUGCACAAUGGGCGAAAGCCUGAUGCAGCAACGCCGCGUGCGGGAUGACGGCCUUCGGGUUGUAAACCGCUUUCAGCAGGGACGAAGGGUUUCUGACGGUACCUGCAGAAGAAGCACCGGCUAACUACGUGCCAGCAGCCGCGGUGAUACGUAGGGUGCGAGCGUUGUCCGGAAUUAUUGGGCGUAAAGAGCUCGUAGGUGGUUUGUUGCGUCGGAAGUGAAAACUCAGGGCUUAACCCUGAGCCUGCUUUCGAUACGGGCAGACUAGAGGAAGGUAGGGGAGAACGGAAUUCCUGGUGGAGCGGUGGAAUGCGCAGAUAUCAGGAGGAACACCGGUGGCGAAGGCGGUUCUCUGGACCUUUCCUGACGCUGAGGAGCGAAAGCGUGGGGAGCAAACAGGCUUAGAUACCCUGGUAGUCCACGCCGUAAACGGUGGGCACUAGGUGUGGGGGACAUUCCACGUUCUCCGUGCCGUAGCUAACGCAUUAAGUGCCCCGCCUGGGGAGUACGCCGCAAGGCUAAAACUCAAAGGAAUUGACGGGGUCAU